rnacentral:rRNA from 1 species
CUUGCGCAAUGGGCGAAAGCCUGACGCAGCAACGCGCGUGCGGGAUGAAGGCCUUCGGGUUGUAAACCGCUUUCAGUGGGGACGAAUUCAGACGGUACCCACAGAAGAAGCCCCCGGCCAACUACGUGCCAGCAGCCGCGGUAACACGUAGGGGGCGAGCGUUGUCCGGAAUCAUUGGGCGUAAAGAGCUCGUAGGCGGCUCAGUAAGUCGGGUGUGAAACCCCCAGGCUCAACCUGGGGACGCCACCCGAUACUGCUGUGGCUAGAGUCCAGUAGGGGAGUGUGGAAUUCCCGGUGUAGCGGUGAAAUGCGCAGAUAUCGGGAGGAACACCAGCGGCGAAGGCGGCACUCUGGGCUGGAACUGACGCUGAGGAGCGAAAGCGUGGGUAGCAAACAGGAUUAGAUACCCUGGUAGUCCACGCCGUAAACGUUGGGCACUAGGUGUGGGGACCCUCCAACGGUCUCCGUGCCGUAGCUAACGCAUUAAGUGCCCCGCCUGGGGAGUACGGCCGCAAGGCUA